rnacentral:rRNA from 1 species
GAACGCUGGCGGCGUGCUUAACACAUGCAAGUCGAACGAGAACGGAUUAUAGCUUGCUAUAAUUGUCAGCUAAGUGGCGCACGGGUGAGUAAUAUAUAGAUAACCUGCCCUCUAGAAAGGAAUAACAGUUGGAAACGACUGCUAAUGCCCUAUAUGCCUUUAAUACAUAAGUAUGCAAGGGAAACGCUUUAGUGCUAGAGGAUGGGUCUGUAUGGUAUCAGCUUGUUGGUGAGGUAAUGGCUCACCAAGGCUAUGACGCCUAACUGGUUUGAGAGGACGACCAGCCACACUGGGACUGAGACACGGCCCAGACUCCUACGGGAGGCAGCAGUGGGGAAUUUUGGACAAUGGGCGCAAGCCUGAUCCAGCAAUGCCGCGUGCAGGAAGAAGGCCUUCGGGUUGUAAACUGCUUUUGUACGGAGCGAAAAGGCUUCCUCUAAUACAGGGGGUCCAUGACGGUACCGUAAGAAUAAGCACCGGCUAACUACGUG